rnacentral:rRNA from 1 species
GACGAACGCUGGCGGCGUGCCUAAUACAUGCAAGUCGAACGAACUCUGGUAUUGAUUGGUGCUUGCAUCAUGAUUUACAUUUGAGUGAGUGGCGAACUGGUGAGUAACACGUGGGAAACCUGCCCAGAAGCGGGGGAUAACACCUGGAAACAGAUGCUAAUACCGCAUAACAACUUGGACCGCAUGGUCCGAGCUUGAAAGAUGGCUUCGGCUAUCACUUUUGGAUGGUCCCGCGGCGUAUUAGCUAGAUGGUGGGGUAACGGCUCACCAUGGCAAUGAUACGUAGCCGACCUGAGAGGGUAAUCGGCCACAUUGGGACUGAGACACGGCCCAAACUCCUACGGGAGGCAGCAGUAGGGAAUCUUCCACAAUGGACGAAAGUCUGAUGGAGCAACGCCGCGUGAGUGAAGAAGGGUUUCGGCUCGUAAAACUCUGUUGUUAAAGAAGAACAUAUCUGAGAGUAACUGUUCAGGUAUUGACGGUAUUUAACCAGAAAGCCACGGCUAACUACGUGCCAGCAGCCGCGGUAAUACGUAGGUGGCAAGCGUUGUCCGGAUUUAUUGGGCGUAAAGCGAGCGCAGGCGGUUUUUUAAGUCUGAUGUGAAAGCCUUCGGCUCAACCGAAGAAGUGCAUCGGAAACUGGGAAACUUGAGUGCAGAAGAGGACAGUGGAACUCCAUGUGUAGCGGUGAAAUGCGUAGAUAUAUGGAAGAACACCAGUGGCGAAGGCGGCUGUCUGGUCUGUAACUGACGCUGAGGCUCGAAAGUAUGGGUAGCAAACAGGAUUAGAUACCCUGGUAGUCCAUACCGUAAACGAUGAAUGCUAAGUGUUGGAGGGUUUCCGCCCUUCAGUGCUGCAGCUAACGCAUUAAGCAUUCCGCCUGGGGAGUACGGCCGCAAGGCUGAAACUCAAAGGAAUUGACGGGGGCCCGCACAAGCGGUGGAGCAUGUGGUUUAAUUCGAAGCUACGCGAAGAACCUUACCAGGUCUUGACAUACUAUGCAAAUCUAAGAGAUUAGACGUUCCCUUCGGGGACAUGGAUACAGGUGGUGCAUGGUUGUCGUCAGCUCGUGUCGUGAGAUGUUGGGUUAAGUCCCGCAACGAGCGCAACCCUUAUUAUCAGUUGCCAGCAUUAAGUUGGGCACUCUGGUGAGACUGCCGGUGACAAACCGGAGGAAGGUGGGGAUGACGUCAAAUCAUCAUGCCCCUUAUGACCUGGGCUACACACGUGCUACAAUGGAUGGUACAACGAGUUGCGAACUCGCGAGAGUAAGCUAAUCUCUUAAAGCCAUUCUCAGUUCGGAUUGUAGGCUGCAACUCGCCUGCAUGAAGUCGGAAUCGCUAGUAAUCGCGGAUCAGCAUGCCGCGGUGAAUACGUUCCCGGGCCUUGUACACACCGCCCGUCACACCAUGAGAGUUUGUAACACCCAAAGUCGGUGGGGUAACCUUUUAGGAACCAGCCGCCUAAGGUGGGACAGAUGAUUAGGGUG